rnacentral:rRNA from 1 species
UACGAAGGGGGCUAGCGUUGCUCGGAAUCACUGGGCGUAAAGGGUGCGUAGGCGGAUCUUUUAAGUCAGGGGUGAAAUCCUGGAGCUCAACUCCAGAACUGCCUUUGAUACUGAGGAUCUCGAGUUCGGGAGAGGUGAGUGGAACUGCGAGUGUAGAGGUGAAAUUCGUAGAUAUUCGCAAGAACACCAGUGGCGAAGGCGGCUCACUGGCCCGAUACUGACGCUGAGGCACGGAAAGCGUGGGGAGCAAACAGGG